rnacentral:misc_RNA from 1 species
AAAUGCCCUAAAUCAUAUAGUAAUAAUACGUAGACCGUACAUUGUUCUCUGAGUCUUCAAAUCGUUGAGGAAAUUGGGCACUUGUAGUUGUUGUUUCGUUUCGUCUUUUGCUAAAACUUAUGAUUGUGUUGAUACAGUGCUGGAGUUACUUGCAAAGUCAAGUCGAAACGUUGGAGUUGGAAACAUAAAAUGGGGGACGAGAAGGAUGCGUUCUAUGUCGUGCGCAAAGGGGAUGUGAUCGGGGUUUAUAAGAACUUGAGCGAUUUGCAAGCUUUGCUACGAACAUCUAUUGGUGAACCAGCCAUAAGCGUUUUUAAAGGGUAUCGCUUGACUAAGGAAUCUGAAGAGUAUCUGGCCUCUCAUGGACUCAAGAAUGCAAUGUAUUCUAUGGAUUUCAGUGAUGUUCGAGACGAUCUCUUUGGGACUCUCAUCCCAUGCCCAUUUCGGCAACCCGGCUCUUCAAAAGAUAAAAUUGUGGGGAAGAAUGUUCAGGAAAAGAGGAUGCAGAUGGAGUUGGUGGCAUCUCCUUCAUUUGCAGCUGCUGGUCAGCAAAAACUUGCUAAAUUGGACAAUUUCCUAGAAGCUCCCCCAAUUUCGUCAUAUCCUUCUCCCUACAUGCAGUGUUCAUGCAUCCUUGAGUUUGAUGGGGCUUCAAAGGGGAAUCCUGGUCUAGCUGGUGCUGGGGCUGUGCUGCGUGCUGCAGAUGGAAGUAUGGUUUUCCGGCUGCGUGAAGGUGUAGGUGUGGCAACUAACAAUGUUGCUGAAUACAGAGGCGUAAUCUUAGGACUAAGAUAUGCUCUUGAGAAAGGUUUCAAACACAUUAAAGUCAAGGGCGAUUCGAAACUUGUCUGCAUGCAGACUCAAGGAAUCUGGAAAUGCAAGAAUCAGAACAUGGCUGAGCUAUCCAAGAUUGUUAAAGAGCUUAAAGAUCAGUUUAUGUCUUUCCAGAUCAACCACAUGGACAGAGAAUCCAACACUGAAGCCGAUGCCCAGGCAAAUUUAGCCGUGUAUCUCAAGAAUGGCGAAAUUCAAGUGGAAUGUGACAUGAUAACUUAAUUAAGUCACCAACUACUACCUCAACUUGUUGGGAUUUAGGAAAUGAUGAAUGACCGCCAAGACAGACCAAUUUGGAUAUUCAGUUGUCUGAAACUACACUUGUAACAUGUAGAUAUAUGAUCUGAAUUAUGUGCAUGUAACCUAAUUAUGUAUCUGGAUUGAAAGUAGCUUCUGCUGUAACCUAA